rnacentral:rRNA from 1 species
UCACUUACGCCGAUGGUACUGCGGUUUUCCCGUGGGAGAGUAGGUAGCCGCCUCUU